rnacentral:rRNA from 1 species
AUUGAACGCUGGCGGCAGGCCUAACACAUGCAAGUCGAGCGGAUGAAGGGAGCUUGCUCCUGGAUUCAGCGGCGGACGGGUGAGUAAUGCCUAGGAAUCUGCCCGGUAGUGGGGGAUAACGUCCGGAAACGGGCGCUAAUACCGCAUACGUCCUGAGGGAGAAAGUGGGGGAUCUUCGGACCUCACGCUAUCAGAUGAGCCUAGGUCGGAUUAGCUAGUUGGUGGGGUAAAGGCCUACCAAGGCGACGAUCCGUAACUGGUCUGAGAGGAUGAUCAGUCACACUGGAACUGAGACACGGUCCAGACUCCUACGGGAGGCAGCAGUGGGGAAUAUUGGACAAAGGGCGAAAGCCUGAUCCAGCCAUGCCGCGUGUGUGAAGAAGGUCUUCGGAUUGUAAAGCACUUUAAGUUGGGAGGAAGGGCAGUAAGUUAAUACCUUGCUGCUUUGACGUUACCAACAGAAUAAGCACCGGCUAACUUCGUG